UUUAUACUCCUUCUGUCCGGAAUUACUUGUCAGAGGAAUGGAUGUAUCUAGACGUAUUUUAGUCCUAGAUACAUCCAUUUUUACCCAUUCUGCUACAAGUAAUUCCAGAUGGAGGGAGUACUUG
rfam:Hordeum vulgare subsp. vulgare, WGS project CAJW01000000 data, contig: morex_contig_1567945